rnacentral:rRNA from 1 species
UACGUAGGGGGCCAGCGUUUGUUCGGAAUUACUGGGUGUAAAGGGUUCGUAGGCGGUGUGGCAAGUUGGGAGUGAAAUCGUCUGGGCUCAACCCAGAGACGGCUUCCAAAACUGCCGUGCUUGAGUGCGGUAGGGGAGACUGGAAUUCCUGGUGUAGCGGUGAAAUGCGCAGAUAUCAGGAGGAACACCGGUGGCGAAGGCGGGUCUCUGGGCCGUAACUGACGCUGGAGGAGCGAAAGCGUGGGAGCGAACAGG